rnacentral:rRNA from 1 species
UGGGGAAUAUUGCGCAAUGGGGGAAACCCUGACGCAGCAACGCCGCGUGAUUGAAGAAGGUCUUCGGAUUGUAAAAAUCUUUUAUCAAGGACGAAGAAGUGACGGUACUUGAUGAAUAAGCUCCGGCUAACUACGUGCCAGCAGCCGCGGUAAUACGUAGGGGGCAAGCGUUAUCCGGAUUUACUGGGUGUAAAGGGAGCGUAGACGGCAAUGCAAGUCUGAAGUGAAAGGACGGGGCUUAACCCUGUGACUGCUUUGGAAACUGUGUAGCUUGAGUGCCGGAGGGGUAAGCGGAAUUCCUAGUGUAGCGGUGAAAUGCGUAGAUAUUAGGAGGAACACCAGUGGCGAAGGCGGCUUACUGGACGGUAACUGACGUUGAGGCUCGAAAGCGUGGGGAGCAAACAGGAUUAGAUACCCUGGUAGU